CUGAACGCUGGCGGUAGCUACCCAUGCUAAUCGAGGGGUAACAGGAGAUAGCUUGCUAUCUUGCUGACGACCGGCGAACGGGUGAGUAACGCGUAGGAAUCUGCCUCAAAGCAGGGGAUAGCCCGGGGAAACUCGGAUUAAUACCGUAUAUAUUCUAAGGAAUAAAGAUGCCUUUUGGUGUCGCUUUGAGAUGAGCCUGCGUCCGAUUAGCUUGUUGGUAAGGUAAAAGCUUACCAAGGCGACGAUCGGUAGCUGGUCUGAGAGGACGUACAGCCACACUGGGACUGAGACACGGCCCAGACUCCUACGGGAGGCAGCAGUGGGGAAUAUUGCGCAAUGGGGGCAACCCUGACGCAGCCAUACCGCGUGGAUGAAGAAGGCCUUAGGGUCGUAAAGUCCUUUCAGCAAGGA
rnacentral:rRNA from 1 species